rnacentral:rRNA from 1 species
GAUGGACUCGCGUCCAAUUAGCUAGUUGGUGAGGUAACGGCCCACCAAGGCGACGAUUGGUAGCCGGACUGAGAGGUUGAACGGCCACAUUGGGACUGAGACACGGCCCAGACUCCUACGGGAGGCAGCAGUGGGGGAUAUUGCACAAUGGGGGAAACCCUGAUGCAGCGACGCCGCGUGGAGGAAGAAGGUUUUCGGAUUGUAAACUCCUGUCGUUAGGGACGAUAAUGACGGUACCUAACAAGAAAGCACCGGCUAACUACGUGCCAGCAGCCGCGGUAAAACGUAGGGUGCAAGCGUUGUCCGGAAUUACUGGGUGUAAAGGGAGCGCAGGCGGGAAGACAAGUUGGAAGUGAAAACCAUGGGCUCAACCCAUGAAUUGCUUUCAAAACUGUUUUUCUUGAGUAGUGCAGAGGUAGAUGGAAUUCCCGGUGUAGCGGUGGAAUGCGUAGAUAUCGGGAGGAACACCAGUGGCGGAGGCGGUCUACUGGGCACCAACUGACGCUGAGGCUCGAAAGCAUGGGUAGCAAACAGGAUUAGAUACCCUGGUAGUCCAUGCCGUAAAC